AUUGAACGCUGGCGGCAUGCCUUACACAUGCAAGUCGAACGGCAGCAUAGGAGCUUGCUCCUGAUGGCGAGUGGCGAACGGGUGAGUAAUAUAUCGGAACGUGCCCUAGAGUGGGGGAUAACUAGUCGAAAGACUAGCUAAUACCGCAUACGAUCUACGGAUGAAAGUGGGGGAUCGCAAGACCUCAUGCUCCUGGAGCGGCCGAUAUCUGAUUAGCUAGUUGGUGGGGUAAAAGCCUACCAAGGCAACGAUCAGUAGCUGGUCUGAGAGGACGACCAGCCACACUGGGACUGAGACACGGCCCAGACUCCUACGGGAGGCAGCAGUGGGGAAUUUUGGACAAUGGGGGCAACCCUGAUCCAGCAAUGCCGCGUGAGUGAAGAAGGCCUUCGGGUUGUAAAGCUCUUUUGUCAGGGAAGAAACGGUGGUAGCUAAUAUCUACUACUAAUGACGGUACCUGAAGAAUAAGCACCGGCUAACUACGUGCCAGCCGCCGCGGUAACAC
rnacentral:rRNA from 1 species